rnacentral:rRNA from 1 species
CAAGUUAGUAAGGGCAUACGGUGGAUGUCUUGGCACCAGGAGCCGAUGAAGGACGUAGGAGACUGCGAAAAGUCUAGGGGAGCUGUCAACCGAGCUGAGAUCCUAGAAUUUCCGAAUGGGGAAACCCGGCCCCAGUCAUGUGGGGUCACCCAUACCUGAACACAUAGGGUAUGUGGAGGGAACGCGGGGAAGUGAAACAUCUCAGUACCCGUAGGAAGAGAAAACAACCGUGAUUCCGUGAGUAGUGGCGAGCGAAAGCGGAUGAGGCUAAACCACGUCUGUGUGAUACCCGGCAGGGGUUGCAUUCGUGGGGUCGUGGGACCUCUUGGCCAGUUCUGCCGGACUGGCAAGCAGUCAGAAAACAUUGUGGUUAGAGGAAUACGUCUGGAAAGCGUGAGCGUAGAGGGUGAAACUCCCGUACUCGAAAACUCGAUGUCUGCUUAGAGUGUUCCCAAGUAGCAGCGUACUCGUGGAAUUCGCUGUGAAUCUGGCGGGACCACCCGCUAAGCCUAAAUACUCCCUGGUGACCGAUAGCGGACUAGUACCGUGAGGGAAAGAUGAAAAGUACCCCGGGAGGGGAGUGAAAUAGUACCUGAAACCGUGUGCCUACAAUCCGUCGGAGCCUUUUGGGGUGACGGCGUGCCUUUUGAAGAAUGAGCCUGCGAGUUAGUGCUGUGUGGCGAGGUUAACCCGUGUGGGGUAGCCGUAGCGAAAGCGAGUCUGAAUAGGGCGUUUAGUCGCAUGGUCUAGACCCGAAGCGGAGUGAUCUAGCCAUGGCCAGGGUGAAGCGCGGGUAAGACCGCGUGGAGGCCCGAACCCACCAGGGUUGAAAACCUGGGGGAUGAGCUGUGGUUAGGGGUGAAAGGCCAAUCAAACUCCGUGAUAGCUGGUUCUCCCCGAAAUGCAUUUAGGUGCAGCGUCGUAUGUUUCACCGCGGGGGUAGAGCACUGGAUGGUCUAGGGGGCCCACAAGCUUACCGAAAUCAACCAAACUCCGAAUACCGUGGUGUGAGAGUGCGGCAGUGAGACUGCGGGGGAUAAGCUUCGUAGUCGAGAGGGAAACAGCCCAGAACGCCAGCUAAGGCCCCUAAGUGUGUGCUAAGUGGGAAAGGAUGUGGGGUCGCACAGACAGCCAGGAGGUUGGCUUAGAAGCAGCCACCCUUUAAAGAGUGCGUAAUAGCUCACUGGUCAAGUGGUCCUGCGCCGACAAUGUAGCGGGGCUUAAGCACACCGCCGAAGCUGUGUCAUUCAGCUUUAGAGCUGGAUGGGUAGGGGAGCGUCGUGUAGCCAUUGAAGCUGCGGAGGAAUCCAGUGGUGGAGGCUAUACGAGUGAGAAUGCAGGCAUGAGUAGCGAAAGACGAGUGAGAAACUCGUCCGCCGGAUGACCAAGGGUUCCUGGGCCAGGCUAAUCCGCCCAGGGUAAGUCGGGACCUAAGGCGAGGCCGACAGGCGUAGUCGAUGGACAACGGGUUGAUAUUCCCGUACCCGUGU